rnacentral:lncRNA from 1 species
ACCAAGUGUGAUGUGAUUUGGACACGAAAAUUGGAUCUAGUUCGGUAAAUUCUUGGCCAGAUCUCUCUCUAACCGGUCUGAACCUGCAGCACUAGCAUUAGAUGGCGGUCUGUGUAAUUCUUCAAAAAACUCGAUAUGCUUUGAAAGAGGGGAAGAGAGGGAGAGACAGAGAGGUAAAAGAGAGACAAGUAAAAGUGGAGUUCGAGAGGCUAUCUUGAUGGAUCCAAGUCGAACCGCACUAUCGUGAGGCAGUCAUGAGUGG